rnacentral:rRNA from 1 species
GACGAACGCUGGCGGCGUGCUUAAUACAUGCAAGUCAACUGAACUUAAGGUAGUAAUAUCUUAAGAGAGGUGGCGCACGGGUGAGUAACACGUAGGUAAUCUGCCUUUAGGUCUGACAUAACCUAUCGAAAGGUAGGCUAAUAUCAGAUGAUGCAGCGGCUCGACAUCGAGACAGUUGUUAAACCUUCGGGGCCUAAAGAUGAGCCUGCGUCUGAUUAGGUAGNGGCGGAGUAAAAGCCCACCAAGCCUGCGAUCAGUAGCUGGUCUGAGAGGAUGAUCAGCCACACUGGAACUGAGACACGGUCCAGACUCCUACGGGAGGCAGCAAGUAAGGAAUAUUGCU